rfam:Pyrococcus furiosus DSM 3638, complete genome.
GGCAAUGAUGAGUGAUGGGCGAACUGAAAUAGUGAUGACGGUAGGUGAUCUCUGAGC